rnacentral:rRNA from 1 species
GGCCUACCAUGGUGGUAACGGGUAACGGGGAAUUAGGGUUCGAUUCCGGAGAGGGAGCCUGAGAAACGGCUACCACAUCCAAGGAAGGCAGCAGGCGCGCAAAUUACCCAAUCCCGACACGGGGAGGUAGUGACAAUAAAUAACAACACAGGGCUCUUUCGGGUCUUGUUAUUGGAAUGAGUACGAUUUAAAUCUCCUAACGAGGAACAAUUGGAGGGCAAGUCUGGUGCCAGCAGCCGCGGUAACUCCAGCUCCAAUAGCGUAUAUUAAAGUUGUUGCAGUUAAAAAGCUCGUAGUUGAAUUUCAGGCCUGGCUGGGCGGUCCGCCCUUCGGGUGAGUACUGCCUGUGGUCGGGUCCUACCUUCUGGCGAAGCGUCAUGGCCUUAACCGGCCGUGGCGGGGAACCAGGACUUUUACUGUGAAAAAAUUAGAGUGUUCAAAGCAGGCAAUCGCUUGGAUACAUUAGCAUGGAAUAAUGGAAUAGGACAAUGGUUCUAUUUGUUGGUUUCUAGGACCGUUGUAAUGAUUAAUAGGGAUAGUUGGGGGCACUAGUAUUCAAUUGUCAGAGGUGAAAUUCUUGGAUUUAUUGAAGACUAACUACUGCGAAAGCAUUUGCCAAGGAUGUUUUCAUUAAUCAAGAACGAAAGUUAGGGGAUCGAAGACGACCAGAUACCGUCGUAGUCUUAACCAUAAACUAUGCCGACUAGGAAUCGGGCGAUGUUGAAAAAAUGACGCGCUCGGCACCUCAUGGGAAACCAAAGUGUUUGGGUUC